rnacentral:rRNA from 1 species
UACGUAGGGGGCAAGCGUUGUCCGGAAUUAUUGGGCGUAAAGGGUGCGUAGGCGGCUCGUUAAGUCGGGGGUGAAAUACUUCGGCUCAACCGGAGAAUUGCCUUCGAUACUGGCGGGCUUGAGGAAGGUAGGGGUCGCGGGAACUGCCAGUGGAGCGGUGAAAUGCGUUGAUAUUGGCAGGAACGCCGGUGGUGAAGACGCGCGGCUGGACCUUUUCUGACGCUGAUGCACGAAAGCCAGGGGAGCAAACGGG